rnacentral:rRNA from 1 species
GACGAACGCUGGCGGCGCGCCUAACACAUGCAAGUCGAACGAGAGAGAAGGAGCUUGCUUCUUCGAUCGAGUGGCGAACGGGUGAGUAACGCGUGAGGAACCUGCCUCAAAGAGGGGGACAACAGUUGGAAACGACUGCUAAUACCGCAUAAGCCCACGGGUCGGCAUCGAUCUGAGGGAAAAGGAGUGAUCCGCUUUGAGAUGGCCUCGCGUCCGAUUAGCUGGUUGGUGAGGUAAUGGCCCACCAAGGCGACGAUCGGUAGCCGGACUGAGAGGUUGAACGGCCACAUUGGGACUGAGACACGGCCCAGACUCCUACGGGAGGCAGCAGUGGGGAAUAUUGCACAAUGGGGGAAACCCUGAUGCAGCGACGCCGCGUGGAGGAAGAAGGUCUUCGGAUUGUAAACUCCUGUUGUUGAGGAAGAUAAUGACGGUACUCAACAAGGAAGUGACGGCUAACUACGUGCCAGCAGCCGCGGUAAAACGUAGGUCACAAGCGUUGUCCGGAAUUACUGGGUGUAAAGGGAGCGCAGGCGGGAAGACAAGUUGGAAGUGAAAUCUAUGGGCUCAACCCAUAAACUGCUUUCAAAACUGUUUUUCUUGAGUAGUGCAGAGGUAGGCGGAAUUCCCGGUGUAGCGGUGGAAUGCGUAGAUAUCGGGAGGAACACCAGUGGCGAAGGCGGCCUACUGGGCACCAACUGACGCUGAGGCUCGAAAGUGUGGGUAGCAAACAGGAUUAGAUACCCUGGUAGUCCACACCGUAAACGAU